UAGCACUGGCCAUAUUACCCUGAAAGUGCCUGAUCUUGUCUGAUCUCGGGAGCUAAGCAGGUUUGGGCCUGGUUAGUACUUGGAUGGGAGACUUCUAUCUGUUUUAAGAGAUCAGGCCAGCGCGUUAG
rnacentral:rRNA from 1 species